UACGUAGGGUGCAAGCGUUGUCCGGAAUUAUUGGGCGUAAAGAGCUCGUAGGCGGUCUGUCACGUCGGCUGUGAAAACCCGAGGCUCAACCUCGGGCCUGCAGUCGAUACGGGCAAACUAGAGUACUGCAGGGGAGACUGGAAUUCCUGGUGUAGCGGUGAAAUGCGCAGAUACCAGGAGGAACACCGGUGGCGAAGGCGGGUCUCUGGGCAGUAACUGACGCUGAGGAGCGAAAGCGUGGGGAGCGAACAGG
rnacentral:rRNA from 1 species